GAUGAACGCUGGCGGCGUGCCUAAUACAUGCAAGUCGAGCGAACAGACGAGGAGCUUGCUCCUCUGACGUUAGCGGCGGACGGGUGAGUAACACGUGGAUAACCUACCUAUAAGACUGGGAUAACUUCGGGAAACCGGAGCUAAUACCGGAUAAUAUAUUGAACCGCAUGGUUCAAUAGUGAAAGACGGUUUUGCUGUCACUUAUAGAUGGAUCCACGCCGCAUUAGCUAGUUGGUAAGGUAACGGCUUACCAAGGCGACGAUGCGUAGCCGACCUGAGAGGGUGAUCGGCCACACUGGAACUGAGACACGGUCUAGACUCCUACAGGAGGCAGCAGUAGGGAAUCUUCCGCAAUGGGCGAAAGCCUGACGGAGCAACGCCGCGUGAGUGAUGAAGGUCUUCGGAUCGUAAAACUCUGUUAUUAGGGAAGAACAAAUGUGUAAGUAACUAUGCACGUCUUGACGGUACCUAAUCAGAAAGCCACGGCUAACUACGUG
rnacentral:rRNA from 1 species